GAGGAAAAGAAACCAACUGGGAUUGCCUUAGUAACGGCGAGUGAAGCGGCAAAAGCUCAAAUUUGAAAUCUGGUACCUUUGGUGCCCGAGUUGUAAUUUGUAGAGUACCACUUUGGGACUAUACUUUGCCUAUGUUCCUUGGAACAGGACGUCAUGGAGGGUGAGAAUCCCGUGUGGCGAGGGUGUUAGUUCUUUGUAAAGGGUGCUCGAAGAGUCGAGUUGUUUGGGAAUGCAGCUCUAAGUGGGUGGUAAAUUCCAUCUAAAGCUAAAUACAGGCGAGAGACCGAUAGCGAACAAGUACAGUGAUGGAAAGAUGAAAAGAACUUUGAAAAGAGAGUGAAAAAGUACGUGAAAUUGUUGAAAGGGAAGGGCAUUUGAUCAGACAUGGUGUUUUGCGCCCCGYYCUCCUUGUGGGGGUGGGACUCUCGCGAUUCACUGGGCCAGCAUCAGUUUUUGCGGCAGGAGAAAACCUUGGGAAUGUGGCUGUGCGUUUCGGCGUGCAGUGUUAUAGCUCUUGGGAAUACUGCCAGCGGGGACUGAGGACUGCGAUACUUGUUAUCUAGGAUGCUGGCAUAAUGGUUAUAUGCCGCCCGUCUUGAAACACGGACCA
rnacentral:rRNA from 1 species